GUGAUUGCUUGGGCAAUACAUACCCUAAAAUUAAAAUAAUAGAGAGAUGAUUAGCCUGGUCUCUUAGCAAGGAUGGCAUACAAAUUUGUGGAGUAUUCCAUAUUUUU
rnacentral:snRNA from 1 species